rnacentral:rRNA from 1 species
AGCAGCCGCGGUAAUUCCAGCUCCAAUAGCGUAUAUUAAAGUUGUUGCAGUUAAAAAGCUCGUAGUUGAAUUUCGAGACCGGUUUACUGGUCGUGCUUUUGUACGUACUGGUAUUAUUGGUUUCUCCUUUCUGACGAAUCAUAAUGCCAUUAAUUUGGUGUUUUGGGGAAUCAGGACUGUUACUUUGAAAAAUUAGAGUGUUUAAAGCAGGCUCACGCUUGAAUACAUUAGCAUGGAAUAACGAAAUAGGACGUUUGAUUUUAUUUUGUUGGUUUCUAGGAUCGACGUAAUGAUUAAUAGGGAUAGUUGGGGGCAUUAGUAUUCAAUUGUCAGAGGUGAAAUUCUUGGAUUUAUUGAAGACUAACUACUGCGAAAGCAUUUGCCAAGGAUGUUUUCAUUAAUCAAGAACGAAAGUUAGGGGAUCGAAGACGAUCAGAUACCGUCGUAGUCUUAACCAUAAACUAUGCCGACUAGGGAUCGGAUGAUGUUAAUCUUUUAAUGACUCAUUCGGCGCCUUACG